UACGGAAGGGGCGAGCGUUGUUCGGAAUUAUUGGGCGUAAAGGGCGUGUAGGCGGCUUCAUAUGUCCGUGGUGAAAGCAUACGGCUCAACCGUAUUAAGCCUUGGAAACUGUGGAGCUUGAGGCUGGGAGGGGCUGGUGGAAUUCCCUGUGUAGCGGUGAAAUGCGUAGAUAUCUGGAGGAAUACCGGUGGCGAAGGCGGCAUCCUGGACCAUUACUGACGCUGAGGCGCGAAAGCUAGGGGAGCAAACGGG
rnacentral:rRNA from 1 species